rnacentral:lncRNA from 1 species
UGGUCUGGUCGUGUCGUGAUGAUAUCAACGAAACUCGGAUUUUAUGUUCAUUGUUAGGCGACUCGUCGCAACCAUCAAACCUGCUACAUGGUCGUCACGUCCUGCUUUGGCAUCCUUCGCCGCCGGUGAAAAGCUUUUCUGUAUAUGGCGAGUUCUUUAAUCCAAUGAUGGAUGAAUUAUGAAUGAAGACAGAAGAUGGAGAUUAAUUAGGAAACGAGAUGCUUUUACCUCUGAAUCCGAUCAAAUCUUACGAAUGAAGUUGUUGUACGCAGAGAGUAGCGGAUUACUUCAAUGUGAGAGUCUCGUUACGAGAAGAUUCUGAAUGCAUCACCAAAAAGUAAAAGAUGAAAAGAUGAUUUUCUUCGUUUUAGUUUAGAAGAAGGGACAGAGAUAAUUUUGAGUUCUCAAGCAAGAAGAUGUUGUUGUACAAGAGGUGUGUGACUAGUGUUUUUAUAAGCAAAGCAAACGUUCGAUUUUUUCC